rnacentral:rRNA from 1 species
UGGGGAAUCUUGGACAAUGGGGGCAACCCUGAUCCAGCCAUGCCGCGUGAGUGAUGAAGGCCUUAGGGUCGUAAAGCUCUUUCGCCUGUGAAGAUAAUGACGGUAGCAGGUAAAGAAACCCCGGCUAACUCCGUGCCAGCAGCCGCGGUAAUACGGAGGGGGUUAGCGUUGUUCGGAAUUACUGGGCGUAAAGCGCACGUAGGCGGACCAGAAAGUUGGGGGUGAAAUCCCGGGGGCUCAACCCCGGAACUGCCUCCAAAACUAUUGGUCUAGAGUUCGAGAGAGGUGAGUGGAAUUCCAAGUGUAGAGGUGAAAUUCGUAGAUAUUUGGAGGAACACCAGUGGCGAAGGCGGCUCACUGGCUCGAUACUGACGCUGAGGUGCGAAAAGUGUGGGGAGCAAAACAGGAUUAGAUACCCUGGGUAGUCCACACCGUAAAACGAUGAAAUGCCCAGUCGUCGGGUAGCAUGCUAUUCGGUGACACACCUAACGGAUUAAGCAUUCCGCCUGGGGAGUACGGUCGCAAGAUU